AAUUUUCUAUAAAAAAAAAAAAAACCUGCUAGACAGUAAUGGACAUGAGUUCCCUCCCUCAAAGUCCCAUAAUUCCUUGCUUGUAAGUGUGAGGUCACUUUUCUCCCUCCCACACAUCAGCCACUCCACCCAUUGAAACACACACAUGUGCUCCAUCCAAUGCAAUAGAUCAGUGUUUUCUAACCAGGGUGCCUCCAGCUGUUGCAAACCUGCAAUUCUUGCAGAAUAAUCCCCCCUCACCCAGCUGUUGCUCCACUCAUCGAAACAAAGACAGGCUUUCUCUGAAGACGUGACUAGUGAUGUAAUCGGGCUGCACUGCAACCUUGGAAAACCUAAGAUGACAUGUCAUUUUGUAUGCUGUUAAAAAUAAAACAUUGGGGCAAAAGUCAUAGAAGAAUUGCAAGAUCACCAUGAAACAAAAGGUACAGACACUAUAUUAUGAACUACACUAACGUUACAGCCCCUGUAACAUAGUCAAAAAAUAAUAAUCCUGGAAUACCCCUGUGCUGCCUUCGCAAUGUAUUUUACAUGCUUGGCACUCAGCAGGGUCUGUUCCUUUAAGACCCUCCAUUUUCUUGAAGCCUAGAGGCGGGCCUUCUCUCUAAAACAUAGGGCUAGCUCCGGCAUGUCUCAUUCAUUCCAGCUCCAGCCACCACAGUGACCAGAUCCACAGGACUUCUUAAAGCUAAUACAGACUGCAAAUCUGAUAAAUACCAAAGCCUGUGAGUACGGAAUUGUUAGUUAACCUGUGCAGAGAGAUGCUCGGCAUUUGUAGAUAGAUAAUGUGUGUUUUCAGUGUGUAGUAAGUGAGCACAUGUUAGACUAUCUAUGUAUUAGCUAUGCAUAAUGUAAGGCACUUGAAUAGCCAUGCUUAUAUUUGUCUUUCAUAUGUUUGUUUUACAGUUUUACCGCACUUUCAUUAUAUCUCAGUAAAGAUUACAUCAGUUAAGCAAACCAGCGUGUCUUUCCUUGAGAUUCGGUAUAAACUUGAUGUGAAGCUGUGUCCACGAGACAGCGGAGACAUUAUAGUAAAAAGGCUUUUAAAACGUUAUCAGAAGCAGUUAAUCAGCUUUGAAUCGUCCGCAACAGUAAAAAAGAUUCAUAAAUCCUGUGCCCUGCAGUCUGUGUCGGAGUCAAGGCGCGAAGCACUAGAAAGUGAAACUAAUUCUCUCACGUGCUAUAACACCGCUGUGCUGUGUCCAGUCAUCAUCAUUAUCUAGCUGCCAGCUAAAUCAAGAUGCAGAACCCAGAGAACAGCACUCUGACAGUUAACCCUCAAUGCUCCUAUAAAGAGGAAGACACCUUGCCAAGAAGUAGAUCUAGGUGCACAACAUUGUCUAGAGCGUCCAGUCAAACAAAUCUAACUUCGGUUAGCGCCGAUGCAUCAAGAUUUAAACGCCAUAGUUCUAGACACUCAAGCACCACCAGCCUGUCAUCCGCUAGCGCCAUAGCAACUAAGGCAAGAGCGAAAGCAGAGGCAGCUUGUUCAAUGGCGUCCUAUGCAAAGCAGGAAGCUGAAUUGAUGAAAGAACAAGCAAAAAGUGAAUCUGAAGCACUUAGAAGAAAAGCUGAAUUGAUGAAAGAACAAGCAAAAAGUGAAUCUGAAGCACUUAGAAGAAAAGCUGAAUUGAUGAAAGAACAAGCUGAAGCACUUAGAAGAAAAGCUGAAGUGCAAGCAUCUUUACACUUACUGCAACAGCAGAAAAACGCUGCAGCAGCCUUAGCCGAGGCAGAAGUUCUCACAAGGGCUGCCGAAGCUCAGUUCGCUGACAUAGAAACCCAGAUGUCACCCCUCAGCGCAAGCCAACGUACCCGUGAGUACAUACAGUCACAAGCAACCAUGUACACUGACCAGCAGUUCAAUGACACACCAAGGCCAUCAUUGACUCCACCAGCAAUAAGCAACUUUGAUUCUACGCAACACUGCAAGACUGAAUCAGAACCUCAGGGUAGGAAGUCAAGUGGUCACAUCCUCAGAGACCAAUCUGCCAACCUGACAAGAGUGCAAACGGAUGCUGAUGUACUCCCUCCUCAAGCAAAUACAAGUCUGGAUUAUAGCAGAAAGACUUACAACAGAGGAGAAGAAAGCAGACUUAGUCAAGUACCUCAUCAGCCUUACCAGCCGCAGCCAUACCCUGAGUUUACACCUAGGAAGUAUUCACCAGAUGCAGCAAGAGCUACAGAGGUAGCAAGAUUCCUGAUGCGCCGUGAGAUAGUGAGCGCUGGUCUCAUGAAAUUCGACGACCGUCCAGAAAACUACUGGGCCUGGAAGUCAUCUUUCCUAAGCGGUACCCAAGACUUAGAUCUGACAGACAGAGAAAAGCUUGAUCUGCUCGUCAAAUGGCUAGGACCAGAGUCCACUGAGCAAGCCCAAAGAAUCAGAUCAGUACAUGUUCAUGAUGCAGCAGCAGGACUUGCAAUGGUGUGGAGGAGACUAGAACACUGCUAUGGGUCACCUGAAGUGAUUGAAGAUGCUCUUCUGAAGAGGAUAGAAAACUAUCCAAGAAUGACAAACAAAGACAAUCAAAAGCUGAGAGGGUUUGGGGACCUACUCUUAGAAAUAGAAGCCGCUAAGUCUAGUGGAUAUCUGCCAGGUCUCUCAUACUUAGAUACAGCACGUGGAGUUGAUCCCAUAAUCGAGAAACUUCCUUUCAACUUGCAGGAAAGGUGGGUCACUCAAGCAUCAAGAUACAAGAAAGAACAUCGAGUCGCAUUUCCACCAUUUGCCUUCCUUGCUGAAUUCAUCGUAGACCAAGCUGAAACACGCAAUGAUCCAAGCUUUGCUUUCCUGAACAAGAGAACUGCAAGCUCCCCAAAGGUAGAGCAAAAACAUCCAACGCCUUACAAAGAACGCAGAGCAACAGUUUCUGUACGGAAGACAGAAAUCUCGCCUGAGUCUGCAGUCAAUCAGGAAGACAGCGCAAGUAAGAAAGUUGAGGAGCCAGACAAAAUAUGUCUAAUCCACAACAAGCCACAUCCACUAAGAAAAUGUCGCAGUUUCAGAAGUAAGACGUUAGAAGAGCGCAAAGCUUACCUUAAAGACAAUCACAUUUGUUUCAGAUGUUGCGCUUCAAUUCAGCAUCUUGCAAAAGACUGUACAAAAACAAUAAAAUGCACAGAGUGCAACAGUGACAAACACCUGUCAGCACUGCACCCAGGACCACCACCAUGGAAACAAGAAGUUCCAGCAACUCAAGAAGAUCAUGGUGGGGAGCAAGGCGAGAGUACAACGCCAGCAGUAACCUCAAAGUGUACUGAGAUCUGUACAGAGCAGGGCCGCCCCAGAUCAUGUUCCAAAAUAUGCUUAGUCAAGGUGUAUCCUGCAGGCUUCAGAGAAAAAGCAAUCAAGAUGUACACAGUCUUGGAUGAACAGAGUAACAGAUCUCUGGCAAAAACAGAGUUCUUUGACCUCUUCGGUGACAAAGGAAGUCCAACUCCAUACACCCUGAAGACUUGUUCUGGAGUUGUAGAGACAACAGGGAGAAGAGCAAACAACUACAUCAUUGAGUCAUUAGAUGGAAAGACAAAGGUGACUCUUCCUACCCUCAUAGAAUGUGAUGAGAUACCAGACGACAGGUCAGAGAUCCCCACACCUGAAGUUGCUCGUCAUCACCCCCAUCUGGUGCGAAUAGCAGACCAGAUACCAGCACUAGAUCCAGAUGCUGCAAUCAUCCUUCUACUUGGGAGAGAUAUCCUCAAAGUGCACAAAGUCAGAGAACAGUACAAUGGGCCACACGAUGCACCAUUUGCACAACGCCUUGAUCUCGGAUGGGUCAUCGUUGGAGAAGUAUGUCUAGACGGACUCCACAAACCAGAAAAGGUGAAUGUCUACAGAACACAUCUGUUACAGAAUGGUCGUACAUCUUGUCUUUGCCCAUGUACCAACAGUCUACACAUUAAAGAGAGACUUGUUAACCCAACACAUCAUCGGAGUAUCCAGAGGUGCAUGGAAGACUUAGCCUCAACUGGAGAUACAGAUGAACUGGGCUGUAAGGUGUUUGAAAGAACACGAGAUGACGACAAGCUAGCACCCUCGGUGGAAGAUACUCUCUUCCUUGAGAUUAUGGACAGGGAAGUCUUCAGAGACAAAUCAGGCAGCUGGGUAGCCCCUCUACCCUUCCGGUCACCACGCCAUCGCCUUCCUGACAACAAAGUACAAGCAGAGAAACGCUUCACUUCGUUGCAGCACAUGCUACAAAGAAAGUCAAAUAUGAAGAAACACUUCCAAGCCUUCAUGCAGAAGAUCUUUGAUAACGAUCAAGCUGAAAGGGCACCACCACUACAAGAGAACCAAGAACACUGGUACUUACCAAUAUUUGGGGUGUACCAUCCUCAGAAACCAGGCCAGAUACGCGUAGUAUUUGACUCUAGUGCGAAGCACAAAGGCCUCUCACUAAAUGAUGUCCUUCUCAGCGGACCUGACCUGAACAAUACACUCCUUGGAGUACUCAUCAGGUUCAGAAAAGAACUCGUAGCAGUGACAGCAGACGUACAACAGAUGUUCUACUGUUUCCUUGUUCGUGAAGAUCACAGAGACUACUUAAGGUUCCUGUGGUAUGCAGACAAUGACUUUAACAAAGAAAUCACAGAGUACAGGAUGAAGGUACAUGUGUUUGGAAACAGCCCUUCUCCAGCUGUAGCUAUCUACAACCUGAGACGAGCAGCACAACAAGGUGAAAGACAUGGUCAAGAAGCCACACAGUUCGUCAUGAAGAACUUCUACGUAGAUGAUGGACUUGCUUCUUUCUCCAGCAACGAAGAAGCUAUCAACGUCCUGAAAAGUACAAGAGAAAUGUUGGCAGAAUCCAACAUAAGACUGAACAAGGUAGCUUCCAACAGCAACAGAGUCAUGGAAGCAUUUCCAAUGGAAGACCGUGCUAAAGACCUCAAAGACUUGGAUCUAGGAACAGAAUCACCACCCUUGCAAAGAAGUCUUGGGAUUAGUUGGGACCUGAAGACUGACAGUUUCACCUUCAGGGUCUCCAGAGAAGAGAAGCCAUUCACAAAAAGAGGUGUCCUAUCUACAGUCAACAGUCUUUACGACCCCCUGGGGUUCGUAGCACCCAUCAUCAUGCAAGGCAAAGCUCUUUUGAGACAGAUCACUACUGAGCAAGAACAAAGUGACUGGGACAUACCUCUACCUGAAGAGAAGGAAAUGCAGUGGAAGUUGUGGAAAGACUCAUUGUUAGAGCUUGAACAACUCAACAUCCCUAGACCAUACGUAUCUGUUUCCUUGUCUGCUACAAAGAGAAGAGAAAUAUGCAUAUUCUCUGACGCCUCCACUAUGGCUAUCGCAUCUGUCGCCUACCUUAGGGUAAUAGACACUGAGGGACAAAGCCAUGUCGGGUUCCUCAUGGGAAAAUCUAAGCUGGCUCCCAGACCGGCUCACACUGUCCCACGUCUAGAACUUUGUGCUGCUGUCUUAGCUGUAGAAAUGGCAGACAUGAUUACAACAGAACUGGACAUCGAGAUCCAUGCAAUGAACUUUUAUACAGACAGCAAGAUUGUGUUAGGAUAUAUUCACAAUGCUUCAAGAAGAUUUUAUACAUACGUGGCCAACAGAGUGACACGUAUCAGAAAGUCUACAAGUCCAGAACAGUGGCAUCACAUCAGCACAGACAAGAACCCAGCUGAUCAUGGGACAAGACUAGUGCCAGCCGCUGCGCUCAAGCAAACUAACUGGUUUGUAGAUCCAUCUUUUCUUCGUAAACCAGAAACCAAAGAAAAUACUCAGGUAGAGACCUUUCAGCUCAUAGAACCAGAUCAAGACAAAGAGGUAAGACCUCAAGUGACAGUUUGUAGGACUUUAGUUACAAGAGACAGUCUGGGCGCUCAUAGAUUUGAAAGGUUUUCCAGCUGGAAGUCGCUGACCCGUGCAAUCGGAAAACUUAUCUGUCUAGCCAGAUCCUCCUGCAGAGCUACCAAUACUGAUCAGCGUAGCAAUGACCACCUUGAACAAGCCAAGGUCACGAUCAUCAGAUGCGUCCAACAGGAAGUCUUUAAAGAAGAAAUCCAAGGCCUUCUGAAAAAGGAAGAGAUUUCUCAACACAAUUCACUCAAGGACUUGUACACCAAGCAAUGGAAACAAGUUCAAAGUCUUGCGGACAUUUUCUGGAAGAGGUGGAGACAGGAAUACCUUAUAAUAUUCCAGCCACGCAAGAAAUGGCAAGAUGACAAGCCCAAUUUACAAGUUGGAGACAUUGUCUUACUGAAAGACUCUCAGGCCCACAGGAACGAGUGGCCUAUUGGACUCAUUGUGGGGACUGAUCCUAGUAGUGAUGCUAGAGUUAGAAAGGUUGAAGUUAGGAUUGUUAGACAGGGCAUUCCCAAAGUGUAUGCAAGGCCAAUUUCUGAAGUAGUUUUACUCCUGUCCAAGGGUUAGUGGCAUAACAAAAAGUAUGCCAGGUGGGGAGUGUGCUGCCUUCGCAAUGUAUUUUACAUGCUUGGCACUCAGCAGGGUCUGUUCCUUUAAGACCCUCCAUUUUCUUGAAGCCUAGAGGCGGGCCUUCUCUCUAAAACAUAGGGCUAGCUCCGGCAUGUCUCAUUCAUUCCAGCUCCAGCCACCACAGUGACCAGAUCCACAGGACUUCUUAAAGCUAAUACAGACUGCAAAUCUGAUAAAUACCAAAGCCUUUUUACCGCACUUUCAUUAUAUCUCAGUAAAGAUUACAUCAGUUAAGCAAACCAGCGUGUCUUUCCUUGAGAUUCGGUAUAAACUUGAUGUGAAGCUGUGUCCACGAGACAGCGGAGACAUUAUAACCCCUUUAAACAUUGUAUGAAUUAAAACAUCUGCAAAUUUCUAAUAUUUUAGCAUUUCAAAUCCUCCCCGUUUUCAAGAACUUUGUUUGCUAUCAGUGAAUGAAAGCUUCCAUUAGUCAGGGAUUCUUUACGUACCAAGUUCUUUUCCAAGCUGAGAAGUGGAUAUAAAUAUAUGUACUCUAGUACCAUGAAGGCUUCCAAAAAAAAGGGGCUAUCCCAAGAUUAAAGGUCGUCCCCUUGUUCACAGGAUAAGAAAUAACUAGUUGAUGGGUGGGGGUGGGGGGGUCUAACUGGGAUUCCAACUGACCAUGAGAUCACAAGCCCCUUGUCUCCCCAAGUGUAAGGAGUGCAUAGCAUAGAGUCCAGAGCUUGGAAAUGUUCAGAAGACCCAGAGAGAAUGAAUGUGAUUUAGUGAGUGAUCAGCUGAUCCCAGCUAUUAGUUAGUUCUACCUGUGGAGAGGAUAUAACUUUUAAUCUUGGGAGCAGAACUUUAAGCUGUAAAGUCACAAUAUCGUUUCUCCUCACAAAAACUACCACAGUACAGUACUCCAAUAAAAGGCCAAUCACUACAGAGCCACAAUGCAAUGAUAAAAACUGCCCCAUACAUGUCACCUGUGUCCCUAUAAACAGUACGGACAAAUCUGUUUUUAGCAUGCCUAUAAAAAUAUACGCAUAAAUGCUACAGACAUAUACACACAAAAUGUACACUUUUUGGUCAUUAUAGGCAAUUACUUAAAGGGGUUAUCCAGGAAAAACUGGCUCCAGAAAGUUAAACAGAUUUGUAAAUUACUUCUAUUAAAAAAAAUCUUAAUCCUUUCAGUACUGAUGAGCUGCUGAAGUUGAGUUGUUCUUUUCUGUCUAAGUGCUCUCUGAUGACACGUGUCUCGGGAACCGCCCAGUUUAGAAGCAAAUCCCCAUAGCAAACCUCUUCUACUCUGUGCAGUUCCCGAGACAAGCAGAGAUGUCAGCAGAGAGCACUGUAGCCAGACAGAAAAGAACUCAA